rnacentral:rRNA from 1 species
UACGAACUGUGCGAACGUUAUUCGGAAUCACUGGGCUUAAAGGGUGCGUAGGCGGCUGCCUAAGUCAGGCGUGAAAUCUCUCGGCUCAACCGGGAAACUGCGCUUGAUACUGGGCGGCUCGAGUGAGGUAGGGGUGUGUGGAACUUCCGGUGGAGCGGUGAAAUGUGUAGAUAUCGGAAGGAACGCCAGCAGCGAAAGCGGCACACUGGGCCUUUUCUGACGCUGAGGCACGAAAGCCAGGGGAGCGAACGGG